rnacentral:rRNA from 1 species
AGAGUUUGAUCCUGGCUCAGGAUGAACGCUAGCUACAGGCUUAACACAUGCAAGUCGAGGGGCAGCAUGAACUUAGCUUGCUAAGUUUGAUGGCGACCGGCGCACGGGUGAGUAACACGUAUCCAACCUGCCGAUGACUCGGGGAUAGCCUUUCGAAAGAAAGAUUAAUACCCGAUGGCAUAGUUCUUCCGCAUGGUAGAACUAUUAAAGAAUUUCGGUCAUCGAUGGGGAUGCGUUCCAUUAGGUUGUUGGCGGGGUAACGGCCCACCAAGCCUUCGAUGGAUAGGGGUUCUGAGAGGAAGGUCCCCCACAUUGGAACUGAGACACGGUCCAAACUCCUACGGGAGGCAGCAGUGAGGAAUAUUGGUCAAUGGGCGAGAGCCUGAACCAGCCAAGUAGCGUGAAGGAUGACUGCCCUAUGGGUUGUAAACUUCUUUUAUAUGGGAAUAAAGUUUUCCACGUGUGGAAUUUUGUAUGUACCAUAUGAAUAAGGAUCGGCUAACUCCGUGCCAGCAGCCGCGGUAAUACGGAGGAUCCGAGCGUUAUCCGGAUUUAUUGGGUUUAAAGGGAGCGUAGAUGGAUGUUUAAGUCAGUUGUGAAAGUUUGCGGCUCAACCGUAAAAUUGCAGUUGAUACUGGAUGUCUUGAGUGCAGUUGAGGCAGGCGGAAUUCGUGGUGUAGCGGUGAAAUGCUUAGAUAUCACGAAGAACUCCGAUUGCGAAGGCAGCUUACUAACCUGUAACUGACAUUGAUGCUCGAAAGUGUGGGUAUCAAACAGGAUUAGAUACCCUGGUAGUCCACACGGUAAACGAUGAAUACUCGCUGUUUGCGAUAUACGGCAAGCGGCCAAGCGAAAGCGUUAAGUAUUCCACCUGGGGAGUACGCCGGCAACGGUGAAACUCAAAGGAAUUGACGGGGGCCCGCACAAGCGGAGGAACAUGUGGUUUAA